GCAGCCGCCACGGUAAUACGUAGGUGGCGAGCGUUGUCCGGAAUCAUUGGGCGUAAAGGGAGCGCAGGCGGGCGUGUAAGUCUUUCUUAAAAGUGCGGGGCUCAACCCCGUGAUGGGAAAGAAACUACAUGUCUUGAGUACAGGAGAGGAAAGCGGAAUUCCCAGUGUAGCGGUGAAAUGCGUAGAUAUUGGGAGGAACACCAGUGGCGAAGGCGGCUUUCUGGAUUGCAACUGACGCUGAGGCUCGAAAGCCAGGGGAGCGAACAGGGUUAGAUACCCCAGUAGUCCCUGUCUCUUAUACA
rnacentral:rRNA from 1 species